rnacentral:rRNA from 1 species
UGGGGAAUCUUCCGCAAUGGGCGAAAGCCUGACGGAGCAACGCCGCGUGAGUGAAGACGGCCUUCGGGUUGUAAAACUCUGUGAUUCGGGACGAAAGAUAAGCAGACGAAUAAUCUGCAUAAGUGACGGUACCGAAAAAGCAAGCCACGGCUAACUACGUGCCAGCAGCCGCGGUAAUACGUAGGUGGCAAGCGUUGUCCGGAAUUAUUGGGCGUAAAGCGCGCGCAGGCGGCUACUUAAGUCCAUCUUAAAAGUGCGGGGCUUAACCCCGUGAUGGGAUGGAAACUGGGAAGCUGGAGUGUCGGAGAGGAAAGUGGAAUUCCUGGUGUAGCGGUGAAAUGCGUAGAGAUUAGGAAGAACACCGGUGGCGAAGGCGACUUUCUGGACGACAACUGACGCUUAGGCGCGAAAGCGUGGGGAGCAAACAGG